rnacentral:rRNA from 1 species
CAGUAGCCGCGGGAAUACGAAGGGGGCAAGCGUUGUUCGGAAUUAUUGGGCGUAAAGGGUGCGUAGGCGGCCCCGCAAGUCUCAUGUGAAAUCUUCAGGCUCAACUUGAAGUCUGCAUGGGAAACUGCGGGGCUGGAGUAUGGGAGAGGUGAGUGGAAUUCCUGGUGUAGCGGUGAAAUGCGUAGAUAUCAGGAGGAACACCUGUGGCGAAAGCGGCUCACUGGACCAUAACUGACGCUGAGGCACGAAAGCUAGGGGAGCAAACAGGAUUAGAUACCCCUGUAGUCCCUGUCUCUUAUAA